UUUCCUGCCCAGAAAACAGUAAAAGCAACUUUGAUCCCCAGGCUUCUCUCCAGGGCUCCGCCCCAACUGAGGACAGGAGAGCGAGGAAGAACAAGAGCCCGCCCAGGAACUCCCCCCGUGACCGGCAGCCUGAAAUCCGCCCACCGCCGAGGGACCCAGUUCUGACCCUGCCAGAAGCUGAUGUCUGGCUGCCUGCCCGACGCCACUGACGGCAGGUGCUAGCCCUCACCCGACACGGGUGCCCGGCAUCGCGCCUCUCGCGGGCAUCGCCGCGCCACGACCCGGAAGGCGGCACCGUCGCUUGCGCUCUGGCUGCCCGUCUGAAUUGCCCACCGGACACUGCAGCGCAGCCCUUGACGGCUGGAGCGUGGAACAGCGAGGAGUGGGAAGCCCCGUCUUCCCUGAUCCGGCCCAAACUGCAACGCCACGGUUUUGGGGAGAGCCGUGAAGGACAAGGGGCCUCAAAACUCAGAGCCCUGAGUUUGCCGGCGAGGAAAAGGCUGGGCACUUACGCGCCAGCUACUGGAAAAUUCCCGUUAAGCCGAUACCGAUUCUCCACCUCAUGGUCGUAAAGCUUAGUUUCUCGGUCUGUUAGCUGAGAUAGGCAGAAAGCUUCCCUGCAUCCCAAAACAUCUCUUCCGCCGGUUCCCGUGACACUAGACGUGUCUGUGCCACGGCCAGGGAUGCCGUUAUGGGAGGUCACGUCUGUUAAAAGCGAUCAUAGGGGCGCCUGGGCGGCUCAGUUGGUUGCACGUCUGACUUCAGCUCAGGUCACGAUCUCAAGGUUUGUGAGUUCGAGCUCCGCAUCAGGCUCUCUGCUGUUAGCACAGAGCCCUCUUAGAUCCUCUGUCUCCUUCUUUCUCUGCACCUCCCCCACCUACACUCUCUCUCACAAAUGGAUAAACAUUAAAACAAAAAAAAGGCCAUAGUAGGAAAUUGCGACGUCCCCUUAAGUCCUCUCCGUCUGCCAAGGAUUAACCGUAUGCACCCACCUUGGGGCAGCUGGCUUUCCACCCGAGGCUCGCCGGCCCUGCUCUGUAGCCACCAGUGUGGAAGUGGCCAGACUGCGCUCACUGGUCAGGACAGUGACCUCUGGUCCGGCGCGCUCUCUCUGGGCCCGCGAUACGCCUCACACCUCAGACCCACGGCACGUGGUUACUUCCCACGUGACAGUGCUCGAGGGCCAGAAUGGGCACGGCAUCACCCCUGCAGCCCUAAGAGUGGACUGGGGCUCUGGCUCCAGCCCACCAUCCGGGGCCCGCCCCGGCCCCUCCCCUUCCCUGUUGUCCCCCAGCCAGAUGUGGGACAAGGAGACCUCUGGGUGGUGGAGACUCCUGGAUCCAUUUACCUGGACCAGCCCCACCAGCUUCUUCUGCACUUGGGACAUCCAGGUCACAAACAUCAUGGAGUCCAAGAGGUACCCGGCCGUGGGCUUCUGGGAGGUGGAAGGUGCAUUCGGAAGCGUCUCCCUGCUGGGUUGGAAGGAACCACGAGGGGCGCAGAGCUGAGCUGGGGUUGGGGGAGGGACUGGGCUGCGGAGGACAGCUCAGCGCUAAGGGCAGUGGACUCCAGGCCGGGCCUCGCCCCCUCCCCAGCCUGUGCUGCCCGCCCCUCGCCCCUGCACAAGGCCCAGUGACUAGAGAGGGCAGCUGGGGUUGAGAAACCAGAGCCAGAGGCUCUGUUGGCGUAGACCAGUCUCUGGUCACACACAAGUGUGGACCGUGAGCCCCCCCCCCCCACACACACACACACAAAAACACACCCUAACAUACUAACGCACGGGCACAUAUACACGACAAGCACACUGACACACAUGUGUCCCCGAGGCUGGGGCUGCAUCUGCCUUCUCCGGCCACCAGCCCCGCCCAGGUGGCCCCUCGAAAGGCUCUGUGUCGACCGCAGCCCUGGCCUGGGGGCCCUCACCCAGGACCCCAAGCUCCUCCAGGAGGACUCACCCCAGCUGCCCAAACAAGGUCGUCCUGCCCCAGGCAUACAGCACGCAGCAGCUGUUCCAGCUGGUGCCGCAGGAGUGCUUGAGCUCCAAGAGGCGGCUGAGGAGGACCUCCUGGAAGCAGGUGCUGUAGAUCGUCCAGAGGCGGGCCCCCAGCCGGCUCGCCCUCAGCAACCCCAGGCCCUGUCUCACAGCCUCCUUUAGCUUCUCCAGGAAAGGGCCCAGCUCGUCCCUGGGGUCCCAGGUGGGCACUCGGGCCUCAGCGUCAUUUCUCAGCAGCCUCUCCAGCUGACUGCCCCAGGUGGCGACUGUGCCGUCCUCGAGGGUACCGGCCUCCGGGCUCGGGGGCUGGUCCUGUGUGUACUCCACAGUGUCCAGCACCGCCUGGAGCUUCAGCUCCAGCUCCUGGCCGAGCCUGACGCCCUCCAGAGCCUGCUGGACCACUUGCCACAUGCUCUGGGCCAGAGCCUGGUACUGGGGGCCGCAGUCCUGCCCUUCCCAUGCUGACGCGGAGACGCUCAGGUAGGCUUCCAGAAACUUCCCCUCCUGCACCAACUGUUGGAAGCCUGGAAGAAAAGAACCCAGAAGGAUGGCUCAGCGGAGGGACUCGGAAGAAUGGGGGAAACCGGGGAGGGGGAGGGGCGCCCGCCCAGGAUUCUUCCCCAGAGUAGGGUGGGUGUGGGCUGAGCUGGUGUCCGGGGAACCACGCACGAAGAUGAGGCAGUGGCUUGAAGAGCCUUUGGGGACGGGGCUCCUUGCGGCCAGUCAGGAUCAGCAGGGCACGAGUUUGUACGAGGGUCACAGAAGACUGGUAGGCUUUCCACCGUGUCCCCCUUGCAGCAGGAAAGCUUAACACGAGCGGUUCCUUCCCAUGAGCCUCUAAGCGCCCAGGGCGACGCACGGUCUGCGCUUUCAUCAGCGGUGCAUUGUCAACCCGACAUCGAGGCAGCAAAGGCGCUUUCCCGACCAGAGGCACGGACAGGGGGGUCCAACAGAGGUAGUAGGAAAUAGUGUCAAAGGAAUGCCCAUCAGGACCACGUGGAGGGCUCGCUGAAGCCCAGGUUGGAACGUGCAUCUGGGACAGGGUCCCAGGGGGUGCCAACAGUGCUGGUCCUCUGCCAGGAGGGAGGGAUGUGAAGGGAAGAAUUCCGCCUUGGGUCCCAGAGGAGCCUCAGCAAGACACUGCGGCCUGUGGCUGCAGGAGGCAGGCUCUGAUGAGACUCAGAUGGGAGAGAAGAAUUGGGAGACAGGGCUGUCCAAAGCACUUGAACACUUGGACACUGAUUCUUAUGGACUUCAACUUGGAGGGGCAGUUUUGAACUUUAAAUCCUCCCUGGAAACUUCAGAACGAGAAGGCAGGUACAUUUCAAGUUGGGGCGCAGAAUGCCUUCCUGUCGUCAAGGGCGAACGCAUGCCCCUCCCCCCAUUUCCUAUUCUUCCUUUCUCGUAGCAAGAAUGAACGUGUGAUGCCAGGAGCUGGGCAGCCGUCUUGGGCCACGAGACGGGAACCCCAUGUGGAGGAUGGUGGAGGGGUCCGAUGGAGGGGUCUGGGUCCCUGAUCGCAGAGGAGCCCUGGACCACCUACCCAAAUCUUCCAUGGGAGAAGCACGUUUUAUCUUGCUUUAUCUUAAGCCACUGUUUGUUGGGCGUCUCAGUGAAAACAGCUGAACUUAUAACAAUACGAAGAGCUGAGGAGGAGUGGAAUGUGGGAUGGAAAUUAUUUUGCCCCAAGCAGGACAGCCUUUGACAGCCUUGAGCUAUUCUGAAGGUGGAGAUUCCCUGUCUACUUCUCAUAGAUGGCUCCCUGUGGACAGGCAUUAAUUAGAUUGGAUGCGGAAAUAGGAACCGUGACCCCUGGAAUCUCUGUGCUGUCACCAGGUGCAGGGGCUACCUGGACAUCAUUCCCCUUCCUUCCAGAGCUGUGCCGUCCAGCACAGCAGCCCCGAGCCACCCGUGGUUACUGAGCACUGAAAACGUCAAACCUGAGCUGUGCUGUCAGCGUAAAACACACACCAGAUUUCCAAGACUUAGCAGGGGGCAAGAAAAAGAAUGUAGCAUACCUUAAUUUUAAUACCGAUUGAACGUUGAAACAUGUUGAAAUACUACCUUAGCUCUAUUGGGCUGAAGAAAAGAUAUUACUAAAGUUAAUUUCACCCGUU